CUCAUCAUCCACUUUUGGUUCAUGCAACCAUUUUCUAUUCUCCAUUCUGUAUAAAUUCAACACUCUCCUACACUUUUCUUCAACCAUUCACUGCACAACUCAUUGUGCCAUUCGUUGCCUUAUUGCAGAUAAGACCAACCAUUCUUCCUUCAGUUCUGUAUCAAGAUGGCAUCAGUGCAUGCUAAUGUGACAUCACUUGUUUGCAAGAAUGGCAACCAUGCUUCUCAAUCGAAAUUUCCAAGUUCUACAUUCUUGCCUGGAUUUGAUGUUGUUGGACGUGUUUCAAGUGCUUGGAAGAAGGAACUUGUUCCACCUUCCAUGACCUUGGUACCUAGAGCCACAUUAACAUUUGAUCCUCCAACUACCAAUUCAGACAAAACCAAUCAAAAGAAGCACACUAUUGACCCUGCUUCUCCUGAUUUUCUUCCCCUUCCUUCCUUUGAACAGUGCUUUCCAAAGAGCACUAAAGAACACAGGGAAGUGACUCAUGAAGAAACUGGUCAUGUGCUCAAAAUUCCCUUUCGUAGAGUUCACCUCUCUGGGGAGGAAGGACACUUUGAUACCUAUGACACUAGUGGUCCCCAAAAUAUAAACCCCAGGAUAGGACUCCCAAAAUUGCGUCAAGAGUGGGUUGACAGGAGGCAGAAAAUAGGUCCACCAAGAUUUACUCAGAUGUACUAUGCCAAGCAGGGAAUUAUCACUGAGGAGAUGCUUUAUUGUGCCGCUCGUGAGAAGCUUGACCCAGAGUUUGUGAGGUCAGAAGUUGCUCGUGGACGUGCUAUCAUUCCUUCCAACAAAAAACACUUGGAGUUAGAGCCCAUGAUUGUUGGAAGAAACUUUUUGGUGAAAGUAAAUGCCAAUAUUGGAAAUUCUGCAGUUGCUAGCUCCAUAGAAGAGGAGGUUUACAAGGUUCAGUGGGCAACUAUGUGGGGAGCUGAUACAGUCAUGGAUCUCUCAACUGGUCGCCACAUCCACGAAACUCGAGAGUGGAUCUUACGCAACUCCUCUGUACCAGUUGGAACUGUACCUAUUUAUCAAGCACUUGAAAAAGUUAAUGGAAUUGCUGAAAAUCUUACCUGGGAGGUUUUCAGGGACACCCUGAUUGAACAAGCUGAACAGGGUGUAGAUUACUUCACCAUCCAUGCAGGAGUUCUUCUGAGAUAUAUUCCAUUAACAGCAAAACGCAUGACAGGAAUUGUCUCCAGGGGAGGAUCUAUUCAUGCUAAGUGGUGCUUAGCUUAUCACAAAGAGAAUUUUGCUUAUGAGCACUGGGAUGACAUUCUUGACAUCUGCAAUCAGUAUGAUGUGGCCCUAUCCAUUGGUGAUGGUCUAAGACCUGGAUCCAUCUACGAUGCAAAUGACACGGCUCAAUUUGCUGAACUCUUGACCCAAGGAGAACUGACCCGUAGAGCAUGGGAAAAGGAUGUGCAGGUGAUGAAUGAAGGACCUGGACAUAUCCCAAUGCACAAGAUUCCUGAAAACAUGCAGAAACAGUUAGAAUGGUGUAAUGAAGCACCUUUUUACACCCUUGGUCCUUUAACAACUGAUAUUGCUCCUGGCUAUGAUCACAUUACCUCUGCAAUCGGUGCUGCAAAUAUUGGUGCACUUGGUACAGCUCUUCUCUGUUAUGUGACUCCAAAAGAACACCUUGGGUUGCCAAACCGGGAUGAUGUUAAGGCUGGAGUGAUAGCUUAUAAGAUAGCAGCUCAUGCAGCUGAUUUAGCCAAAUGUCACCCACAUGCUCAGGCCUGGGAUGAUGCGUUAAGCAAGGCAAGAUUUGAAUUUCGAUGGAUGGACCAGUUUGCUUUGUCAUUGGAUCCAAUGACAGCCAUGGCCUUCCAUGAUGAAACCUUGCCAUCAGAUGGUGCGAAAGUGGCACAUUUCUGUUCAAUGUGUGGCCCUAAAUUUUGCUCCAUGAAGAUAACAGAAGAUGUGAGAAAGUAUGCUGAGAAAUAUGGCUAUGGAACUGCUGAGGAAGCUUUGCAGCGUGGGAUGGAUGCUAUGAGUGCUGAAUUUCAAGCUGCCAAGAAAACUAUCAGUGGGGAGCAACAUGGUGAAGCUGGUGGAGAGAUUUACUUGCCAGAAGCUUACGUAAACUCCAAGGAGAGGACUGCAUGAAUGGAGUAAAUCAUUUGAAAGAACAUGGAGCUAGCUUCCCAGCUGGCCUCUCAGGGGGUGCCUGAAUCUGUAUAAGCUCUCGCUAUCAAGAUAGAAAGCUAGCAGAUCAGGCUGAGACAGUCCCUUUGAACCUGAUCAGGGUGAUGCCUGCGCAGGGAGCGUGCAUUUUUCUCUUUUUUAUGCUUCUGCAGGAAUUGCGCGUUGUAUACGCAAUUUGGACCAGCUAAUACUGGGAUGCAGCAGACAGCUCGUUGGCCAUGCCAUUUGGUCAUGGUUAGAAGUGUUUAAAAUGUACGGCUGCAUGAUCUGAAUUAGUAGUAUACUGUCCUUAGAUUCAAGAUCUUAUAAUUCAGCAUAAAAUCCACCUUCACAUAUAAGAAGAGAAAUGCUAGCAACACUAUUCAACAAUUUUUUUAUCAAGGAAAUUCAUGCGGGUCCUACUGCUGUAGCUCUAUUUUUCAAUUAGUUUUAGUCUCUUAUUUUGUAGUGAGUUUCAUAUGGACUUCAGUAAAAGGUAAAGAAUGUUUUGAAAGAAUGUCAUGUUUUUUAAGUCUCUGAUGAGACAAACAUGCUAGUUAUAAUCAGGCUAUGUUUUGAGCAAGAUUGAAUAUUAUGCAAAUGUAAUUAUUUCUGUACA